rnacentral:lncRNA from 1 species
AUUUAAAACAUAAGAAAUGUACAAAUUUAAAAAACAAUGUCUUAAAUAAACAGACAAAAUAAAGUAUAAAAAAUCAUAUUAUCACAAUCUAUUUGGAAAAACUUAAGUAUUUAAAUUUCUUUAAAACAGAAAAUGAGAUUUCAAAAUGACUAAAGAAAUUAAGAAUUUUUAGAGCUCUGAAAUAAAUUUUGGAUGUUAACUACCAGGAAUGGGUCAAAGUUAAUUUGUAUUUGUAUAUACAUCUGAUACAUAAUUAUUGGACAGAGUAUGUUGGUCAUCAGGGUAUUAAGGAAGCCCCUUCCUACCUACUGCACCCCAACUAUGUAAAUGGGACUGCCCUAAAACGUCAAUUGAAAAGAUAAAUAUUUUCUGUUGCUGAAUAAAUGAUACCAACAAUAUUUAAAAAUUUAAUACUUUAAAAUAUUCCCUCAAAAUAAUAUUUGAAAUUCUUUGUAAGUGUUUGAUUCGAAGGUUCUUUCCUUUUCUCAUAAAAAUUAGAACGUAAAAUGAAAUAAAAAUGUCUGAGGUAGCUUCUUUUAUGCAACAUUUGAAAAAGGUAGCAAAAAAUUUAAAAAUUGAUUCAAUGGAAUUAAAUUUGAUCAUUAAACUCCUAGCCUUAGAAGAUGGUAUGAGAAAUUAAAAUAAUCCCGUGAAACACAAAUGCAAACAUAAGCACAAAAAAGAAAGAAAAAAGAGGUUUCCAAAAAUUUACAUGUAACUAUUUGUUCAUUUGACAAUAAACAGCUAAUACACUGUAUCUAAAGAAAAAUAAAGGUAACUAUCCAACAUAACAGCAUUAUUUAACAAUCAAAGUUAUCUUCUGCUUAAAUAAUUUAUAAUGGCUGCCAUCUUGAAAUUUCAUGGGAGUAGUUUUUAUGAAAACUGACCACUUAUCCCUUGAAUGAAGCUGCUCCUGUAAGAUUUUAUGACUGAAAACUUUGACUUAAAACAUACCUUAGUACCUACUUUAUCAAACAAUGUAAAUAGGUGUUGACAAACAAUAACCAGUGACUCACAAAUUGCUAAUUACUCAAACACUCUAUUUUUGCAAGUACUAUAAAUUGAACACAUCUUCCUCACUAUUUUACUAUAUAUAGUAACAUGAAACUAUAAAUGACUUUUGACUUUUUUUCAAUGCCAAGUAAUGUAAAAUGAACAUGCAUGUACAUGUAUCUAAAUGAGUGAAUAAUCAUAAC